ACUCCUACGGGAGGCAGCAGUGGGGAAUAUUGCACAAUGGGCGCAAGCCUGAUGCAGCCAUGCCGCGUGUAUGAAGAAGGCCUUCGGGUUGUAAAGUACUUUCAGCAGUGAGGAAGGUGGGUAUGUUAAUAGCAUACUCAUUUGACGUUAGCUGCAGAAGAAGCACCGGCUAACUCCGUGCCAGCAGCCGCGGUAAUACGGAGGGUGCGAGCGUUAAUCGGAAUUACUGGGCGUAAAGCGCAUGCAGGUGGUUUGUUAAGUCAGAUGUGAAAGCCCGGGGCUCAACCUCGGAAUUGCAUUUGAAACUGGCAAACUAGAGUACUGUAGAGGGGGGUAGAAUUUCAGGUGUAGCGGUGAAAUGCGUAGAGAUCUGAAGGAAUACCGGUGGCGAAGGCGGCCCCCUGGACAGAUACUGACACUCAGAUGCGAAAGCGUGGGGAGCAAACAGGAUUAGAUACCCUUGUAGGCUCUGC
rnacentral:rRNA from 1 species